rnacentral:rRNA from 1 species
UCUGGUCUGGGGACACUGUCAGGUGGGCAGUUUGACUGGGGCGGUCGCCUCCCAAAAGGUAACGGAGGCGCUCAAAGGUUCUCUCAGUACGGUCGGAAAGCGUACGUAGAGUGUAAAGGCAAAAGAGAGCUUGAUUGCAAGACAUACAGGUCGAGCAAGGAUGAAAAUCGGACUUAGUGAUCCGGUGGUUCUGCGUGGAAGGGCCAUCGCUCAACGGAUAAAAGCUACCCUGGGGAUAACAGGCUUAUCUCCCCCAAGAGUCCACAUCGACGGGGAGGUUUGGCACC